UACGUAGGGACCAAGCGUUGUUCGGAUUUACUGGGCGUAAAGGGCGCGUAGGCGGCAUGACAAGUCACUUGUGAAAUCUCCGGGCUUAACUCGGAACGGCCAAGUGAUACUGUCGCGCUAGAGUGCGGAAGGGGCAAUCAGAAUUCUUGGUGUAGCAGUGAAAUGCGUAGAUAUCAAGAGGAACACCUGCGGCGAAGGCGGGUUGCUGGGCCGACACUGACGCUGAAGUGCGAAAGCUAGGGGAGCGAACGGG
rnacentral:rRNA from 1 species